CAUUUACACAGAGAAAAUUGAAAGCAGAGCUGGGAGUGCAUAGCCCAAACAUGUGCAUUUACAAGAACACCACAGCCACUGGAACACUGUGGAGGAGUCGCGAGGUCACCAUGGCAACCAGAAAAAAAUAAGAGUGCGACUGCUAAAUAACCCACCAUGAGGCCAAAGAAAGUUGCGAAUGUCAGCACUUUGACAAAGAAACACUACUGGAUCCAGGAAAGAACUCAGAAGGUCAACAAUAAUCUUCAAUAAAAGGUGCGUCCCCUCCAUCACGGGGCACCGAGCUGGCACGUUUGCCCCUGUGGUGGCGGUCCGAGUGGUCCUCACUCCGGCUACGCCGUAUCCUGCCUUGCGGCUCGCUGAUGCUCUUGCUGCGACAAAGCCUGUUGAUCACGUUCUGGGAGACGGACUCGUCGAAGCGCUGCCGGUGCUUCUUGGGAAUGAAGAUUCUGGCCAACAUGGCAGCAUGCGGAGGGAAACAGGAAGGUGGACCGCCAAUCCCAGUUCAUCCAGGGUUACAAAGUUGUGUACAGGCAGACAUCCGGACUGCCCGCUCCGGGACACUGGCAGACGCAGGACAUCAAGGUCCCGUCCGAGUGUAGCGUGGUCCUCUCGCCGCUAAAGAAGGGCAUCGUGUACGAGAUCAAAGCCCGGCCGUACUUCAACGAGUUCCAAGGCAUGGACAGCGAAUCCAGGACGGCGUUGACCACAGAGGAAGGUAUGACGCUGAAGAAAAGCGAUGAACUUUGUCUAUCUCGCAGGGUGGCGGCUGACUCAUGACCCCCGAGGGCAGUGUUUGUCAUAUCACUGGCGAACACAUCUUUUGGAGACAAAAAGCAUGUCUGCGCCCGUCGCUCCGACCUUCCGAAUGUGCCUUUUUUUUCCUCCUUGUUUACGAAGAAGGGGCUGUUUGUGUAUCCCGGCUCCUAAUCCAUCACCCGGCAGCCGCAGGGCCGAGGUGUGAUUGGAGCCCGCACACACUCACUGUCAUGCGUUCGUUACGUCUCGUCUCGAUUACUGUAACGUAUUAUUUUCGGGUCUCCCUAUGUCUAGC